rnacentral:tRNA from 1 species
GGCCAGUUAGCUCAGUUGGUUGAGAGUGGUGCUGAUAACACCAAGGUUGCGGGUUCGAUCCCUGCUUGGUCC